rnacentral:rRNA from 1 species
UACAGAGGGUGCAAGCGUUGUCCGGAAUUAUUGGGCGUAAAGAGCUCGUAGGCGGCCUGUCACGUCUGCUGUGAAAUCCCGGGGCUCAACCCCGGGCCUGCAGUGGAUACGGGCUGGCUGGAGGCAGGCAGGGGAGAACGGAAUUCCUGGUGUAGCGGUGAAAUGCGCAGAUAUCAGGAGGAACACCGGUGGCGAAGGCGGUUCUCUGGGCCUGUUCUGACGCUGAGGAGCGAAAGCGUGGGGAGCGAACAGG